ACGCUCUGGUUUCUUUUCAAAUCGCAUAAAUCUUUCGCCUUUUACUAAAGAUUUCCGUGGAGAGGAACAAUAUGAGUAUCAACCAAUUUCUUUUUGCCUGGCCUCACGGCAGGGCU